CACGGUGCCGGUGCAUUUGCUACAUGUGUACGUUCACAAGUAGUUUUAGUCGGGCAACAGAAAACUCCAACUGGACAGAUAGUCUAGCUAGCUGUCCGGAUUUACCCUGCAGAGAUCUGAGGAGC